rnacentral:lncRNA from 14 species
CAGGGCUGUGACUCAGUCCUCCCGCUGCCCUGCUGCCAGCCCAGCCACUGAGUUACCCCUGCACCACACUCCCCAGGGUCUGCUCUCUGCCCUCCCUUCCAAGACCUUCAGACACAUGGGGAUGCCAAGCACAGCUGAGGCUUUGAAACUCCUCCUCUGCCUAGAGACAGUUCCACAACACAGAAAUUAUGGCUCCACUAUGGAAAUGCUCGUUCUCAAGGGUAUUGCUGCCUCUCCAAAACAUUGUGGCCUCAGCUGCUAUAUCAGCUCCUGGAGCAACAAUGUAGAUCAUGAAGAAUUGCCAGUCACCAUUAUCUCUAAUAUAAGGAAUAUCUGCAAGAGAGACCUAUGAGUUACUUGCACUCUCUGUAGGAUAAGUGCUUCAUAAGAUUGGUUUCCUGAGCUGGAGGAUUUAAGAAAUCUGUUUUGAGGUGACCCUGCUCCACAAUAUCUCUCUAUUCUGUUUUAUAGGGUAGAAAUCAAAGCUGGU